CAAACUGCAUUCUAUAGAUUGAUAGACGCGAAAUGUGAGUUGAUUGCGAACGAUAUUUUAAAUAGUCGCUUAUUUGUGAUCUAGAUGCGGUUUUAAAAUUUUAAAAAUCGCAAAAUCUAAACCGCAAAUUUGUACUCUCCGUGACUGCUUAACUUUAGGAUCACAUCAAAUUUUUAUCUAAUUUCUUGUGGGACAUUUCGACAAGUCCUCUGGUUGAAAAUUUUUCAUGUAUGAAAGGAACUUCUGAUUCUUCCGAUAUUGUAUUUCGUUACAAUCCCUAACGUGAAAGUUUUAUGACAAAAAAAACUAAUAAUGCUACAGCAUUAGUCCUUAUUUAAUAAUAUUUUAGCUAACAGUUUUAAGUCUCACCUUGAACUCUUGGAGAUACUCUUAGACAAAAAGCAUUAGUAAAGAAAACGUGGCCAUUCACGUGGUAAUUUUAUAAAAGGGACAUUUUUCUCGGGAAAAAUUAAAGAGAGUAGAUUAUGCCGUCAAAUACAAGUAUGGGGUGUAUUCAAUUCGAAUUUUGAAUGAUUUUUUAAUUCAUAAAAUUCGAAGAUAUUUAAUUGUGAUUGUUUAAAAUAUAUUAAAAAUCUUGACGUACUUAAUU
rnacentral:lncRNA from 1 species